AUGGAGGUAAAACCGCCGCCUGGUUGCCCCUAGCCCGACUCCGGCCAUCGCCAUCACCGCAGGUGGCAAGAGGGCCAUGAUCCAAAGGAACCAGAGCGGUUGAGAGAACUGUUUAUUGGUGGUCUGAACUUUGAAACUACAGAUGAUAGUUUAAGAGAACAUUUUGAGAAAUGGGGCAUACUUACAGAUUGUGUGGUAAUGAGAGACCCCCAAACAAAACAUUCCAGGGGCUUUGGUUUUGUGAUUUAUUCUUGUGUUGAAGAGGUGGAUGCAGCAAUGUGUGCUUGACCACACAAGGUUGAUGGGCAUGUAGUGGAACCAAAGAGCUGUUUCCAGAGAGAUACAGAAGAAUAUAAUUUGAGAGACUACUUUGAAAAGUAUGGCAAGAUUGAAACCAUAGAAAUUAUGGAAGACAGGCAGAGUGGAAAAAAGAGAGGAUUUGCUUUUGUAAUUUUUGAUGAUCAUGAUACAGUUGAUAAAAUUGUUGUUCAGAAAUACCACACUAUUAAUGGGCAUAACUGUGAAGUGAAAAAGGUCCUUUCUAAACAAGAGAUGCAGUCUGCUGGAUCACAGAGAGGUCGUGGAGGUGGAUCUGGCAAUUUUAUGGGUCACGGAGUAAACUUUGGAGGUGGUGGAGGUAAUUUUGGCGGUGGUGGAAACUUUGGUGGAAGAGGAGGCUAUGGUGGUGGAGGUGGUGGCAGCAGAGGUAGUUAUGGAGGAGGUGAUGGUGGAUAUAAUGGAUUUGGAAGUGACAGUGGCAACUAUGGAGGUGGUCCUGGUUAUAGUAGUAGAGGGGGCUAUGGUGGUGGUGGACCAGGAUAUGGAAGCCAAGGUGGUGAAUAUGGUAGUGGUGGUGGAGGUUAUGAUGGUUACAAUGAAGGAGGAAAUUUUGGCAGUCGUAACCAUGGUGGCGGUGGGAACUAUAAUGAUUUUGAAAAUUAUAGUGGACAACAGCAAUCAAAUUAUGGACCCAUGAAAGGGGGAAGUUUUGGUGGAAGAAGCUCGGGCAGUCCCUGUGGUAGUGGUUAUGGAUCUGGUGGUGGAAGGGGUGGAUAUGGUAGCAGAAGGUUCUAAAAACAGCAGAAAAGGGCUACAGUUCUUAGUAGGAGAGACAGUGAGGGGUUGUCAGGAAAGCUGCAGGUUACUUUGAGACAGUCGUCCCAAAUAUAUUAGAGGAACUGUAAAAAUCUGCCACAGAAGGAAGGAUGAUCCAUAGUCAGAAAAGUUACUGCAGCUUAAACAGGAAAUCCUUCUUGUUCAGGACUGUCAUAGCUCACAGUUUGCACAAAGUGCAGCUAUUGAUUAAUGCCAUGUAGUGUCAAUUAGAGGUACAUUCCUGAGGUCUUUUAUCUGUUGUAGCUUUUUCUUUUUCUUUUUCUUUUCAUUACAUCAGGUAUAUUGCCCUGUAAAUUGUGGUAGUGGUACCAGGAAUAAAAAAAAUAAGGAAUUUUUAACUUUUCAAUAUUGUGUAGUUCAGUUUUUUUACAUUUUAGUACAGAAACUUAAACAAAAUGCAGUUUUGAAGGUAUUUCCUUGUGACUUAACAAGUAAAGAUCAUUGUUAAUUACUAUUUUGUAUGAAUUUUGCUAAAGUUAACUGUAAAGAAACACCUGCUGACUUGCAGUUUAAGGGGAAUCUUAUUCGUCCAAUUUCCAAACCGUGAUAUGAAUGGGUACUGACAUGCGGAGAGAAUAAAUAAUUUGUGUGUUUGCAAUGUGUGUUUUAGAUAAAUAGGAUUGAGUAUUUAAAUUAGCAUUUGUGAAUUUAAUAGCAUUACGAUUACCUUCAAAUGAAAAGAAUCUCAA